rnacentral:lncRNA from 1 species
UAGAGAGAGAGAGAGAGAGAGAGAAAGAGAGAGAGUUUUUCAGCUUUUGGAUCAACUCUUUUCAUUAUUUUUAACCAUUGGAUUAAAUACUAUAACUCAGUGAGAACCACUCGAUCAACCCUAGGGGGGCCACUCAACUCUAAUAGACUAAUAUCAUUCUGACCCUACAAUUUUUCAUCAAAUGGUUAAAACCUUGAUAGCAAAAAGAGCGUUUUACUAUUAAUAGUAUUCCAGCCUAAUUCUAUAUAUAUAU